GAUGAACGCUGGCGGCGUGCCUAAUACAUGCAAGUCGAGCGAACAGACGAGGAGCUUGCUCCUCUGACGUUAGCGGCGGACGGGUGAGUAACACGUGGAUAACCUACCUAUAAGACUGGGAUAACUUCGGGAAACCGGAGCUAAUACCGGAUAAUAUAUUGAACCGCAUGGUUCAAUAGUGAAAGACGGUUUUGCUGUCACUUAUAGAUGGAUCCGCGCCGCAUUAGCUAGUUGGUAAGGUAACGGCUUACCAAGGCAACGAUGCGUAGCCGACCUGAGAGGGUGAUCGCCCACACUGGAACUGAGACACGGUCCAGACUCCUACGGGAGGCAGCAGGAGGGAAUCUUCCGCAAUGGGCGAAAGCUUGACGGAGCAACGCCGCGUGAGUGAUGAAGGUCUUCGGAUCGUAAAACUCUGUUAUUAGGGAAGAACAAAUGUGUAAGUAACUAUGCACGUCUUGACGGUACCUAAUCAGAAAGCCACGGCUAACUACGUG
rnacentral:rRNA from 1 species